UGAUUAUGUAGCUGCGUGUGUCGCGCGCUGAGUAAUAUACCUGGUUACGGCUACCGGAUACACCGAGGGGAACAACAGGCGAAUGAAUGAAAACGAAGCUCUGACUGUCGGGCGAUAUGUCAACUGCCACAGGAAGACCGCAACAAUGGCGACACCAUCCACAGGUGGUGACUCCAGCCGGCGCCUCCCCUAAACAGCGCUGAUCGCUGGUAAUCUCACCCAAUCACGCCAAGAAUUCGGCCCUUUGUCGCGGCAAUCACCGGUGCCGGUGGCGGGCGAGGGGUCGCCGCCUUUCAGGGCGGCGGACGACACUGGGGCGGCAGCGCCU